rnacentral:tRNA from 1 species
GAAGAUAUAGCUCAGUGGUAGAGGGCAUGCUUAGCAUGUACGAGGUCUAGGGUUCAAGCCCCAGUACCUCCA